ACUGCAGUCGAGCGGUAGAGAGAAGCUUGCUUCUCUUGAGAGCGGCGGACGGGUGAGUAAAGCCUAGGAAUCUGCCUGGUAGUGGGGGAUAACGUUCGGAAACGGACGCUAAUACCGCAUACGUCCUACGGGAGAAAGCAGGGGACCUUCGGGCCUUGCGCUAUCAGAUGAGCCUAGGUCGGAUUAGCUAGUUGGUGAGGUAAUGGCUCACCAAGGCGACGAUCCGUAACUGGUCUGAGAGGAUGAUCAGUCACACUGGAACUGAGACACGGUCCAGACUCCUACGGGAGGCAGCAGUGGGGAAUAUUGGACAAUGGGCGAAAGCCUGAUCCAGCCAUGCCGCGUGUGUGAAGAAGGUCUUCGGAUUGUAAAGCACUUUAAGUUGGGAGGAAGGGCAUUAACCUAAUACGUUAGUGUUUUGACGUUACCGACAGAAUAAGCACCGGCUAACUCUGUGCCAGCAGCCGCGGUAAUACAGAGGGUGCAAGCGUUAAUCGGAAUUACUGGGCGUAAAGCGCGCGUAGGUGGUUUGUUAAGUUGGAUGUGAAAUCCCCGGGCUCAACCUGGGAACUGCAUUCAAAACUGACUGACUAGAGUAUGGUAGAGGGUGGUGGAAUUUCCUGUGUAGCGGUGAAAUGCGUAGAUAUAGGAAGGAACACCAGUGGCGAAGGCGACCACCUGGACUAAUACUGACACUGAGGUGCGAAAGCGUGGGGAGCAAACAGGAUUAGAUACCCUGGUAGUCCACGCCGUAAACGAUGUCAACUAGCCGUUGGAAGCCUUGAGCUUUUAGUGGCGCAGCUAACGCAUUAAGUUGACCGCCUGGGGAGUACGGCCGCAAGGUUAAAACUCAAAUGAAUUGACGGGGGCCCGCACAAGCGGUGGAGCAUG
rnacentral:rRNA from 1 species